UACGUAGGGCGCAAGCGUUGUCCGGAAUUAUUGGGCGUAAAGAGCUCGUAGGCGGUUUGUCGCGUCUGCUGUGAAAACCUAAGGCUCAACCUUGGGCUUGCAGUGGGUACGGGCAGACUAGAGUGCGGUAGGGGUGACUGGAAUUCCUGGUGUAGCGGUGAAAUGCGCAGAUAUCAGGAAGAACACCCGUGGCUAAGGCGGCUCUCUAGUACGGUACUGACGCUGAGACGCGAAAGCGUGGGGGAGCGAACAGG
rnacentral:rRNA from 1 species